ACCGCCCACCCUGGCAUUUUUUUGCCAGAUUCAGGCCCAUUUUUUUGGUCGACUCUCCCAUAAUCUUAAGAAUCGACCCUUCACCCAGCUUCUCUCAGAAUCUUAACCCAUACUUGUUUUUACAAUCCUAUCUUGUUAGGAUGUGAACAGUUAGGAUUGUAAAAAAAAUUAGGUACAAGAUUCUGAAAGAAGCUGGGUGAAGGGUCGAUUCUCAAGAUUCUGAAAGAAUCGGUCAGAAGAAUUGGGCCUCAAUCUGUUCUCCUAUCCCAUGACUGCAGCGAUCAGGGCCGGGAGAUUGGGGGUGGCCGGCUGACCGCCCCGCCGGUUCGAGCUCGGAUCCACAACAUCAACCAGCCCCGCAAGCACUCCGCUCUAUUCUCCCCCUAAUUGCAGCGACCGGCGACGGCGGAUUGAAGGAGGCCGCCCAACCAGCGGAGCUCGGAUCCACUGCAUCAACCUGCGCGCGAGCCUUUCCCCACCGAUUACAGCGACCGGCGACGACUCUCAGAUCACCAGGAUACAACAAAGGGAUUGGGGGAGAAAAGCACUGAAGUGAGGUAGACGAAAGAGAGAAGAACGCGAUGGAAAAGAAAAGGGAACCAAAAUCAGAAGGUGAGUAGCCAAUAUCCGAUACGAUGAUUGUGGCUGAAGUUCUAAACGAAGAAAGCACCCAUAGCACCUUCCUUUCUAGGAUGGGUUAUGCAUCAAGAUCCGGGAGAUCUGGGACCUCUACUUAAUCAGCACAGAGCUGAGAAGAAAGGAUUGAACAGAAGGAUAGAUAGGCGAGAGAUGCAAGUGACAGACAUUGAGAUGAGUUGGAUGCGAGGCUUGAAGCACAAGUGACAACAUUUGAAGAGAUGUAGAGGAAGCAACAUGAAGAAUUGCAAGCUGUGAAGAAGAGACAGCAAGAGAAGAAUGAAGCCCUGCAAAAGAAGCAACAGGAUAUGGAUAACCUGAUUGGUUUUGUCUUAAAGGCUCAAGCAACACAGCAAGCAACUUAGCGGUCCCAGUCCAAACUUGAUGGUGCAUGAAGGCCAUCCUUUUGUGAUGGAAAGAUAGUUGCCGAAUCAUAUGUUGUAAUCAUCAGGACAACACAUGUGGUCUUUAGAUAUCUAAAUAUUGCCUUUUUAACUUGUCCAUUGUCGUAUCGAACUCGUGAGUCUUUUUAUUGUCAUUUCUAUUUAGAGGAUGAUCUGGCUGAGACGACUGAUUAUAUGAUAUGAUUUGUCGUUCAUUCAAAUUUAUGAUAUGAUUUGGAUCUUAUCUUAUUUA